AGGAGCCGGAGCUGCCUAUUAAGCUCAAUCAAGAUGACAACCUUGGACUGGGGCUGGGGCUCAAGUGGUAGCGCGCUCGCCUGUCAUGCGUGCGGCCCGGGUUCGAUCCUCAGCACCACAUACAAAGAUGUUGUGUCCGCCGAGAACUGAAAAAAUAAAUAAAUAUUUUUAAAAAAAAGUUAAAAAAAAAAAAAAGAUGACAACCUUCCCAAAGCAUCAAGACUUCGUGGCAGAGCCUAUGGGGGAAAAGCCAGUGGGGAGCCUGGCUGGGAUUGGUGAAGUCCUGGGCAAGAAGCUGGAGGAAAGGGGCUUUGACAAGGCAUAGUCGUCCUCGGUCAGUUUCUGAUGCUAAAGAAAGAUGAAGACCUCUUCCAGAAUGGCUGAAGGACACAUGGUGCCAAUGCCAAGCAGUCCCGGGACUGCCUUGGGUGCCUUUGAGAAUGGUGUGAUGCCUUCUUGUGAGGUUCUCUGGGGAGCCCUCAAUCCCUAGCCCCAUUAUCAAGUCUCCAGAGUCUGCAGCUGAGUGGGGGCUCCUUGUCCUCUGUAAAGGAAGAGAUUGCUGUUGUCAUACUCCAGGGUCUUUGGAGUUCUCUCCCCUCACCAUUUCAAUCUUUUUGGAAUUUUUGCUCUUGCAUGCAACUCCCUUUCUCUUUCCCCUGCCAGUUCCAUGGAAACCAUUAACCAGCUUUUCCGAUUAGAUUCCUGGCCCCUUCCUUCACCCCCACCUUCACCUCUGGUCUGUUUGAUGCCAUUUGGCACUUUUUUUUGGAUAACAGCCACUGUCCUUGUAAAGGUUUUUAGAUC
rnacentral:lncRNA from 1 species